rnacentral:rRNA from 1 species
UCGGCCAUACCAUGCUGAAUAUACCGGCUCUCGUUAGAUCACCGAAAGUCAAGAAAGCAUCACUGGGCGCGGUCAGUACUUGGUAGGUGACCACCUGGAACACCGCGUGCCGUU